rnacentral:rRNA from 1 species
AGUGAACGCUUGCGGUAGGCCUAACACAUGCAAGUCGAACGGCAGCACAGGAGAGCUUGCUCUCUGGGUGGCGAGUGGCGGACGGGUGAGGAAUACAUCGGAACCUACUCCGUCGUGGGGGAUAACGUAGGGAAACUUACGCUAAUACCGCAUACGACCUACGGGUGAAAGCAGGGGAUCUUCGGACCUUGCGCGAUUGAAUGAGCCGAUGUCGGAUUAGCUAGUUGGCGGGGUAAAGGCCCACCAAGGCGACGAUCCGUAGCUGGUCUGGGAGGAUGAUCAGCGACUCGGGAACUGAGGCACGGUCCAGACUACUGUGGGAGGCAGCAAUGGGGAAUAUUGGACAAUGGGCGCAAUCCUGAUCCAGCCAUACCGCGUGGGUGAAGAAGGCCUUCGGGUUGUAAUGCCCUUUUGUUGGGAAAGAAAUCCAACUGACUAAUACCCGGUUGGGAUGACGGUACCCAAAGAAUAAGCACCGGCUAACUUCGUGCCAGCCGCCGCAGUAA